rnacentral:misc_RNA from 2 species
AACGCACAUUGCGCCUUUUGGUAUUCCGAGAGGCACGUCUGUUUGAGCGUCAGUACGCACCUCUGCAUCGGCUUUGCUGUCGACUGCGGGUCAUGGGGGUUUGGGCCGCGAGGCCUCCCCUUAAUGCGCACGCUUGCGGGCUUCCACAGAAUGUCAACGUAGUAAACUAAACGCUCGAUGAUUGACUGGGGACAGCUGCGCCUGAAUUCAAAUCUAAGGUUUGACCUCAGAUCAGACGAGGAUACCCGCUGAACUUAA